rnacentral:rRNA from 1 species
ACUCAAAUGAAUUGACGGGGACCCGCACAAGCGGUGGAGCAUGUUGUUUAAUUCGACGCAACGCGAAGAACCUUACCUACGCUUGACAUACCAAGUUUGAUUUUCAGAGAUGAAUUUCUUCAGUUCGGCUGGCUUGGAUACAGGUGCUGCAUGGCUGUCGUCAGCUCGUGUCGUGAGAUGUUGGGUUAAGUCCCGCAACGAGCGCAACCCUUAUUGUUAGUUGCCAUCAUUUAGUUGGGCACUCUAGUGAGACUGCCGGUGAUAAGCCGGAGGAAGGUGGGGACGACGUCAAGUCAUCAUGGCCCUUACGCGUAGGGCUACAAACGUGCUACAAUGGUAGUGACAGUGGGCUGCGAGGUAGUGAUACCAAGCAAAUCCUAAAAAGCUAUCUCAGUUCGGAUUGUACUCUGCAACUCGAGUACAUGAAGUUGGAAUCGCUAGUAAUCGUGGAUCAGCAUGCCACGGUGAAUACGUUCCCGGGUCUUGCACACACCGCCCGU